AUGGAUUCUAUCUCCUAUAAUCAGACUCAAACCGGAAGUGUCUCAAGGGAAAGAGAGAGGUGUGGGUGGAGGAAGAAUUCAAAGAGUGUUUCAGCUGCAGUCAUGUCAUUAAUACAACUUCUGAUCCACACCUCACGCUCCUUUUAUUCAAAGAAGCUACCCAGUUGUUACCUACUUCAAGAUGAAAGCUCAAUUUUCCUACAUAAUUGA
rnacentral:lncRNA from 13 species